GCCGCGCGUGCGCAUUCAGCCGACGGGGAAGAGAGAAGGAGGAUCGGAGGAGGAGAGUUCCCCGCCCAGCGCUGGAAAAAGGUAAGUUUAACCCCUUUUCCCCUUUCCAGAGCUGGGCGGGAGGGGGACCCUGAGGGUGGGGGCACCCUCAGGGCACUAUAGUGCCAGGAAAACGAGCAUGUUUUCCUGGCACUAUAGUGGUCCUUUAAGUGUGUGUGUGCAUCUGCAUGCACUGGCGUACAUACCGCGGUCGCAGGGGUCGCAGCCCUGUAACCCAUGCGACCAGGUGCCCACCGCCAUGUGUUGCGGCCCGGCCCGCGCGCGCGGGGGGGCCCACGGAUCAAUUUUCGCACCAGGGCCCCAUGGGUCAUGUGUACGCCACUG